rnacentral:rRNA from 1 species
GACGAGGGGUCCUAGCGUUGUUCGGAAUCACUGGGCGUAAAGCGUAUGUAGGCGGCUUUUCAAGUCAGGUGUGAAAUCCCAUGGCUUAACCAUGGAACUGCACUUGAAACUGUAAAGCUUGAGUAUUGGAGAGGAUGGUAGAAUUCCUGGUGUAGUGGUGAAAUACGUAGAUAUCAGGAGGAAUACCGGUGGCGAAGGCGGCCAUCUGGCCAAAUACUGACGCUGAGAUACGAAAGUGUGGGGAUCAAACAGG